rnacentral:misc_RNA from 1 species
AAGUCGUAACAAGGUCUCCGUUGGUGAACCAGCGGAGGGAUCAUUAAAAGAAGCCGAAAGGCUACUUACAACCAUCGCGAACUCGUCCAAGUUGCUUCGGCGGCGCGGGGCCCCUCACGGGGCGCCGCAGUCCGGCCUCUCCGGAGGCGCGGGGCAACCGCCGGAGGUACAAAACUCUUCUGUAUUAUAGUGACACUUCUGAUUAAACAAACAAAUAAGUUAAAACUUUCAACAACGGAUCUCUUGGUUCUG